GGAGAACAUUUUUCUAAACAUCAUCUUUUGUGUCCCACAGAAAAAAAAAGUCAUACAGGUUAGGAAUGACAGAAAUUAUGUGUUUUUUUUUUGUUUUUUUUUCUCGGGUGGGUUGGGUGGGUAGCUGUGAACUAUCCCUUUUAGAUAUAUUCACUGUGAUAACUGUUCAUAGAAAUUGUGCUUUAAUGCUAGGUGUGUUAAUUCAGGUCACGCUCAAUACAAAUUGAAAAUUAAAAUUAAUGAAAGAUCUUCAGUUUGCUAUUUAUGGCAGAACCAUAUGGCAAAACAGCCCAUGAGAACCGACACAUUGCCAGAGUCUCGCCCUGAUAGAGCUGCUCUCAGCUGGAUGGCAGGUGAAUGUAAUUUUGAGUGCUCAAGAAAGAUGCUCAGCAUCACUGAUGCCUUCUUAAUGAGAAGCAUAGGUUUUGAAAUAUUAAAAAAUUCAGAACUGCUUUCUGGCGCAGGCGUGACUCAACGGCUAAUAUUAGUCCCAGACCAGUGGUCUCCUGCUGCGCCCACCUCAACACGUCAUCUUAUUCUGCCUUCACACCUCCUUUGCAGUUUUGAGCACACUGUGAAGCUGCAGCCAGAUCUUCUGCUGCCCUGCUAAAGGCGGCCCUGACAUUCACAGGAGACAGCCCAUCAAACAGCCUGUUGCUAAUUGUCCGCGAAGACCCAGAUCACCGUGUUACGCUCACAUGGAGUUGCUUGCGGACAGGCCUGUAACCCUGAGUGAUAUAGGACUGGUCUUCUUUAACAAACUCUGAUGAGAAAGAUAUGACAAUGAAGGUGAAUGGCGGUCGAGAGGGGGUGGAUGAAGACAUACUCUCAUGAGCUCCAUUGUUCCGAUGCUCUGCAGAAAUAUAUUGAUCAAAGGUGGGAGCAAAUGUGUAUGACUGGCAUGCUGGUGUGUCUCUGCAUCCGUUUUGUGCCAUUUUUGAUGACAUGCCAGUCAUUUCGAGAACCAAGUCCCUGCGUGCCAUCACAGUACCCUACAGAAUCUACUCGACAUAUGUCCCUUUGGGAGCUGGGUCCACAACUGUCCACCCAACUUACGCCUGCACCUCAGCAGCUGAGCCACACUUCCCCGGGUCAGUGAGGACAGAGUCGUUGGCACAUACAACACCUCAUCACAUUUGUCGUUCCGUAAGGGAAUGCUUCCGGGAUGUGUGGCAUCCAAAACCGAAAACGAAUGGUGGGACAGAUAUCUCAGAUCCAGUGUUGAUGUCUUGCAUAAGAAAGCUACAUCAUACUAAGAAAGAAACAUCAUCUUGGCCCAACUGAAAGACAAUCUGACAACCAGACUGGUUUAAGUGGCUUUUUGCAGCAGGGAAAAGAACAAUUUAACAAAAUGUGAGUUUAUAGUGGGUGCGGCUCUGCUGCACUAAUCAGUAUCAUACAGAUUCUUGUGGAUUUACUCUGUUCGUCACUUAUCUAUCUCCGGCUUCUUUAAAGAUUAAAUUCCAGCAACCCCUGGGAGUUUGGACCCUGGCACAGGCUCAUGGAGAUGCCGGUUGAGGGGGCUUGGCAGAACAGCAAGGUCAGCAGAUCUGUCGUGCCGCAGUGGCUCGGAGGACUCAGCCCAUUCCCACCUCUGGCCAGUAAUCCGCCCCAGCAUCCGCCACAGUCCAACCAGACACAUCCGCAGCUGUGCCAAACUAUUCUAACAUAUCCAGCAAGUGAGAAAUGCAAUGCAUUCAGUUUUAAUGCAUUCAGUUUUAAUGCAUUAAGUUCCUCUUUUAAGGAAUGAAAGCAAAAUAAAAUAUAGCAAAGAUGUUUUAUUGAUGUCUUC
ensembl:lncRNA